AGCUUCAGCAAUGAUGAAAAUGACAAUGACUUCGACUCAGUGGAGAAGGAAUUCAGCAAUACAUGCAACUCCUUUUGAUACAAGGGUGGUGGGAAAGAAAAUGUCGCAAACCUCCAAACUUCACAAGAGUCACAGAGAGCAUCUUCACCCCUGACGAAAAGUGGUACGUUCUCAUCGGUUUAUCUUCUGGGAGCCAUCAAGGAGUCGGAUAACUCACAAGCAAACAGACACAAAUCCUAUCAGGUAUGAGAAAUUGACCCAUAGGGGGUUCCCAAUAUUUUGCUGCGGCGAACAAGUCAGGUAAGUGAACCAACACUAGUCACCUAACACUAACCCCAAAUCUAAAAUCAGGAGAGAACAGUCAUGCAUGAAGCAACGUUGUAAAGUCGUGCGCAAACAAGUGAAAGAACAACAAAGCCAUGAACUCGUUUUUUUACGGCAGCGUUACGCAAACGUUUGCUAAAAGGGGCUACUGUUCCUCAUCAAACUGCAUCUGAACAGAGGUUGACUGGAUCUGUUUCAGGGUCGUGCUGAGUCCAUCGUCAAACAUUUUGUGACUAGUUAGCAUUCUUUGUGUCAGACAAGCGCAGGUUAACCAAAACAAACAAAUUAUUUAUCGUUUUAGUGUAAAUGCUGCUGAUACUGAACAUAUUAUUUCUCCUUACUUAAGUAUUGGGCCACUUAAAAUCGUUGAUGUGACAUCCCUGCAUCAAUGAAGUUCUUGAUGUUUUAAAACAAAAUGAAAAUAUUAUGCAAUCAAGAGAAACAUUUAAAAACAAAGCUAUUGACACCCCACCUAAAAAGAAACAUUUUUUCAGCCAAAAAUUACAUAUCUUAAUAAUAAUAGAAGAUAUUCCUUUAUUUGUCCCACAUGGGGAAAUUCCAAUUGACAUAUUGCGUAAGAUUUAUGGCACUGUCAUACAGAGUGACAAAAACAGAUGAGAAGUCCUGUAAUUGGCGAGAAAGAAAAUGACUUGCAUCUCAAAUAAGAGAAGUGAGCAAAGCCUCUAAAUGAUGAGCCCGUGCCCCCGUUCAAUCAUGACGCUGACAAAUGACUGAUCAAUGCUUGGAUUUUUAUUCAUACUCUACGGUAUACUAACAGCACAACAUUCAGAAUUUUAAGUAUACUAGGUGCUAUUCUACCCAAUUGCAACUCAAAUUUGAUUAGAGUUGAGAAAAUCCAAAUUAGGAAACUUCAGCAGGGGCUGCUGUUUUGGUUAGCAAUUGAGUUCAAAUGGUCUGAUUAGUCAAGAACCUGGAAUCCAGAGAGAAAGAGAGAGAGAGAAAUUGGGUGAGUGUUUUAGUGCACUGACCAUGGAGACCUUCCUCAGGACAGCGCAAGGGGUUGUGUGACCCGCAUUCACCUCUGACCCUCAGCUGGUCAAACUCUAACCCUAAGACAGAUGGAUAACGCACUGGCCGCUUUAUCUCCUCCUGACCACACGCUCGGCCGUAGCCUUUGCUUUCACCUCUCCUUGCCCCCUUGAUUGCAUCCAUCCUCGUCCUCAAUAUGGACCACAACAUUAGGUACACCUGCCAGAAGAUGCAGGCCUGUCAAACAAAGGGGUUGAGAUUUUAGAAACAGCUUUUGGGAUGAUUCAGUGUUAACCACAAUUCAAUAAAAGAAAACAUAUUGUUACAUUUUUCUUGGGAAAGGAACCAGUAUCGGAAAUGGAAACCACACACACUAUAAGUCAGUAUAGAGUCAUGUGACAUCUCCAAGCCAAUCACUGGUGCGUCUUUGAGCAUUAUCAUAGGAAAAUAUGGAAGUGUGAUCUAAAAAGAAUCAUGAUAAAUCUUUUUCAAUACAUAUUUUCACAUUUUUAAUACUAUUGUGAUCAUUUUCAGAUAUGUGCAAACUGUAACUUUUGGGUGAAUAAUGACAGUAAUAUACUUGUUUGUAUUUUUCAUUUUAUUUUAGAAAGUGAACUAUUUGCUUCAUUCAACGAUGUUAUUAUUAAUAUUGUUAUGUUUGUGUGUUGUGGGGGUGACUUGUUUUCAUGCAUUUGGUCCACAGGCUUUAGGUUUGACACCUGCAUGUAAAUUUUGAUAUUUGAAUAAUUCUCCUGUUAAAGUCAUCAAAUUGAGGUUAAUUGUGCUUGCAUCAGCUGUAUAUAUAAUAUUAUUAUAGUCUAAAAAAAAAAAUCGUUUGUUUACUUUGUCAUGCACCACGGCAAGCUAUACCAUAUACCUCACUUUUAAAGACAAGGUUUUGACUCUUUUGAACCUUUUAUGAGCAUCAUUAGUUUUUACACGUGCAUAGUCGUGUUGCAGCAGCCUCUCUAUAUCCAAAAGGGAGGCUGACGCUGCAAGGCGGAUCGAACCUUUCGAUUGAUACUGAAAAAUUUGCAUAUAGUGAUUCUCUUUGAGCGCGGCGCGGAUCCAUAACGAGAGCGGCCGGCUAUUCAAAUGCAAGCACGCCCGGAGAGAAGCACCAGACGCCGGGACAGGAAAACCUCAAGCUAUUUGCCUUUUUUUCUGCUUUUUCUGGAUCUUUUUUCAACGACUACCACGCCAUGGAUGCUGAUUGUUUUAUCCCGCGAUAGGAUGGCUGCAACGUGGACAAAAAUGCCGUAAUGGGGAAACACGCAGGACGUGGAAUGAGCAGAGGGUGGUGGGAAAAUGAGGAUUUUCUUUUCUGAAUGAUGACAUGCCGCACGGAGAGCUGCGUGACACAUUCUGGCUAUGCGGUAAAUUCUGGCUUGUCUGUGUGUGCGUGAGAGUUGUUGAACGUGAGUGUGUGUGGGCUCGGGUGGUGCGUUUACGUGUCCUAGCGAGACCACUUGAAAGCAAGAAGACAAGACCUCACUUGCCUUGUAUCCAUCCGCACGUGAACUUGAACGCACCACAGCCCGAUGAGUUAGUGCCGCACUGGUCAGCCAUCCCCGCCCGUUAAACAUAUUUGUUUUCAUUUUGUUUUUGAGAGUGAAAAAUUCGCUUCAUUCAAUGCCCUAAUUCUUCGUAUUAUUAUGUUCCCGUGAGCGCUAGUCACUUAUUGAUUUUUCCUCCGUUUAAGGCAGCCAAUAUGGAGAAUAAAAGUGCUCAUACAGGACGAAGACGAAACAUUAGGUACACUUAUGCCAUACAUCUAAAUAAAAUACAACUAUUUUUUUACGAUGACUAUAUGGCCAUGCAUAUAUUUUUAAACAUUGAAAGCCACUUCAUUUGGUACACGCUGCAAGAUCCAGUAAUGUAUCAACAUGAUUUUGCAUUUGACUCAAUUAUUGAUUGAUUGUCUGCAAGGGAGAACACGUGAUGAUGACAGUGGUCGAUGCUAAAAAGUGUAAAGAUGAUGUUUAUUCGUUUUAGCUUUACAUUUAAUCUAUAAUCGGUUCAUUGUACCAUGAAAUGUACACCAAACGGGAGAUUAUUUUUUAUUAGGAUAGUCACAAAUUUAGUCAGUUAAAUACGAUUCAUGCAAUAAAUGCCACGUGGUUUAAUCCCGCUCCCGUAUUUCAUAUUUUAAAGUAGCAUUUGCUAUCAAAAUAUUAGGGACAGCUCCCUGUAUGAUCCUGUUUAUAUAUACAAGGCACGAUUAAGCAUCGCGUUAGAUUAAUGCUUCAGAAUUGAACACAGGGGAGAAUUUUGUGUGUCGGUUAAAAGUGUGCCUAGUGUCCGGUGGGUGUACAAAUCAUUGAAUGUUGUCAGUUUUUGAUAAAUAAUUCAAACCCCAUUUUUUAGCGUAUUUAAAUCAUUUGAUUUGCAGUUUUAAAAAAGAAAAUGCCGGAAUGAACGCAAUUAAAACCGUGGUAAAUGAAGCGUGUUUUGCGCUCAAUAAAUUUGGGUUGAUGGUUGAUAAUCGUUAACAAGGUUUGUCGCCCCAAGUGUGUGGCCUAAUAGUUGGAGUCAGUGACAGCAUGCAGCGGCAUAUGUAGCCCCUUAAUGUCAAACGAAGCCAUGUUAAUUGCACAUGAGAGUGCACGAAUGCAAGCAAGUGACGCGGAAUAACGUCGCACACGCCUGCAUGCAAGCAGGAGGCAAUUACUUGACUUUCCCGUGAGCAAGGCAGCACUCUGUCAUCUAAUUGUUGAAGGAUUGAGAACUAAUUAUUUGCGAUUAAAUACAAAUUUUCGUUCAUUAUACUUU